rnacentral:rRNA from 1 species
UACAGAGGUCCCAAGCGUUGUUCGGAUUCACUGGGCGUAAAGGGUGCGUAGGUGGUGAGGUAAGUCGGAUGUGAAAGCUCGGAGCUCAACUCCGAAAUGGCAUUGGAAACUACCUUGCUCGAGGGUUGGAGGGGGGACUGGAAUACUUGGUGUAGCGGUGAAAUGCGCAGAUAUCAGGAGGAACACCGGUGGUGUAGACGGCUUUCUGGACCGUAACUGACGCUGAGACACGAAAGCGUGGGUAGCAAACAGG